rnacentral:siRNA from 1 species
AGGUUUUUCACAGACUGUUCAGAC